rfam:Lepisosteus oculatus linkage group LG14, whole genome shotgun sequence.
GCCAGCAGCCAUAUCACUCUGCAACUCACAACUGGCAACCCACUGAAGCUGAGCAGGUGUGAGCCUGGUCAGUACCUGGAUGGGAGACUUCCUGAGAAAAACUGUUGUUGCUGGGU